rnacentral:rRNA from 1 species
GCAAGUCGAGGGGUAGCAGGGAGCUCCGGCUCCGCUGUCGACCGUCGCACGGGUGAGUAACGCGUAUGAAAUCUGCCUUUUACCGGGGGAUAGCCCAGGGAAACCUGGAUUAAUACCCCAUAGAAUUUAUAAUCCGCAUGGAGAAUAAAUUAAAACUCCGGUGGUAAAAGAUGAUCAUGCGUAGCAUUAGUUAGUUGGUAAGGUAACGGCUUACCAAGACGAUGAUGCUUAGGGGUUCUGAGAGGACAAUC